GGGAAUGGCUGCAGCUCAGUGGAAGGGCAUCUGCCUUGCAUGCCGAAGGUGUCAGAAUCAAUCCCUGGCAUCUCCA